ACGCUAUAGUAUAUUAGGAGGCCUUAAGGAAAUUUUGAUAAAACAACUCUGUGGUUCUAAAUUAGGACUAGGGUUUAAGGAUUAAAAACAGUAAUCAACACAUUAUGGAAGAGUACGAGGUUUACAUUGAUGAAAAGAUUGAGACUGUUUUGGGUCAUCUUCGUAAAGAUUUUGAAGGAGUUAUUUCUUCUGGUAAUUUGGGUCCAAGAUUUGGGGUUUAUGGUUCGUUUUUGCCGACUUAUAAACGCCCCACACAAGAUUCAUGCUUUUCUGUUCAAGAAUCAAGUAAGUUCAUUGUAAAACAUGAAGUUUCUAUGAUUAGGUCGCUUAAUCAGAGAACACUUACUGAUUUAGGUGAAGUAUCGUCCACAUUUAGAGAAGUUUCGGGUGAUUUUUCUCCAACAAGUAUCCUUCAUAAUAUGACAUCUUUUCCGGUUGUUGGAGACAUACUGCUUUCACCUCUCCAUGAGAAGUUAUUAACUCUGUCAAGAAAUAAGAAAGUUUUCGCGAAGAUUGACAAAUAUGAUCACCAGGAAGUAAGAAGUAGUUCAGUGGAAUUUGGUGGUGCUGUCUCUCUAAGAAAGAAAGAUGUUACAAAAGUUGCAAGUCAUAAACCUGACCAACCAAGGAUGCUCCACACAAAGAAAAGAAAAUUGAGGGAUCACUUGGAUGACAAUGAUGCUAAUGCUUUUGAGAGGGAGGUUAGUGGUGAGAGUGGAUUCAGAAAGCAGAAGAAAUCGAAGGUGUAUCAGACUGAAAAAAAGGAGUGCAAUACAAGCAAGGGUGUUGAGAAAUCAAGAACGAGAGGUUCAGUUACUAGAAUUGUACCAGGAAUCAGGGAUUCUCCUCGUAUAGAUAGGAGCGUAGAGAGAGAACACCAGAAAAAGAAGUACAAAGUAAAGCUUCAGUCUCAAGCACAAUCUGGCAUUAUCCGCAAGCAAGUUUGCAAGUUCCCGCUCAACCAGGCCCCCGGAUGUGGGAAGGAAGUGAGGACCUGCAUUGCAAUUUGGUGAAGAGGCAUGCUAGGAUAACUGGAAUUCGUUGUUCUGGCAGCAGAUCAUGAUGUCUUCUUCCCAGUUUGUGUCCGUUUUACUGCCUCAAGAACGUUUGAUGACCUGAAGAUGAUAGAUUCCUCAAAUUUGCAAAGGGACUAGGAGAAUGCUCUAACAAUCCAUGAAAUCAUCGACAUGCACUGCAUAUGAUAACUCGAAACAAAUUCUGAAGAAAUUGUGAAAUAGAGAACGGAAUUUGCUUCUGAUUCUUCUCAGGGCAGCUCUAGACAAGACUGAGACUAUGAAAGCCACAAAGCAUUAACUUGGCUGAAUCUCUUCAGACUGGAUUGUUAUCUUACAUGUGUGAACAGAUAGUUUGCAAAUCGGAAGACAUUAAAGCCUAAAAAAGGGCAGCCUCGCACAAAGCAUCCCGUAUUAGCAGGGUCUGGGGAAGGGCGGCACUGCAAGGGGUGUGAUGUAGACAACCUACCCUAAUGCAAGCAUUAGUGGCUGCUUUCUCGGCUCAAACCCGUGAUGAUUUUGCUGGUGAAAGGGAAGAUCCUUCUAGAAAAUUUAGUCUUCCAGAGCCAGAGGCAGUGCUACAAGAGCUAUUACGUAAAUUUUGAUUGUUGUUCCUUACACCAAUAAUCAGCUGAUGAAUUCUGUUCGUCAUUGCUCAGAUAAUGGGAAAUAACUCUUUAAUCCAUAAGUGAAAUAUGCUUUGUUCAUUGAGCGUAUUUGAUUCAGAGAUUAGCCACUCAGAUCCUUCCACCAAUAGUUCAGAAAGCUUCCUACUUUCCAGGGAAAACUAUUCUCUUUGCCAAGCUGCUCAAAGUUUGAACUAUUAAAGCUUCGAGUUGUAAAAGGCAGCCUACAGAUGCUGGGACCAGAUGGGUAGUUGAAGAAGCAUGGAAACCAUGCCCAUGCCCCAUACGUUUGGUUCCACUGUCCGUCUUCCGAUUCUGAUUUUGUGGACGAUUCAAUAGAAGUUGCAAAAUCAUCAGUCAAUGAAAUCCCAGAAACUGAUAAAUGUGGAUGCAAGCUGGAGGCUUCUUCUGCGAUGGAACACUUAAAUGAUCCUAAAAUUAAGUGAGGAAGACGGAGAAGGCAGCUGAUAGCCAGUGUAUGAAGAAUAUGGAGGUUGAAAGGCAUUUUAUCUCGGAUAAAAAUGACAAUAAUGAUGCAUUUGGAAGGUUCAAAAUGGCACCUGAUGAUUGAUGGAGUCUGCAACCAAUUUUGUAGCUUGUAUAUUAUUGGCCAAUGGAAUUCGCUGCUAAAUUCCAAUAUUUAAAGUUAUUUGUUUUACCUUCUUAAUGUAUAUGAUUCCAUUAUCAUGCAAAACAGACAAGGAAAAUGAAUUAAUAUCACUGGGUUGUUGUUAGCA